AAAAAGUAACCCCCAGAAGAAGAAAAAAAUCACUCACAUUUUUAUAAUGCCUUCCAACAUGUUUUUGGCUUUUGUUUUUUUCCCGCUUUUCUCCGUUCUCU
rnacentral:ribozyme from 1 species